rfam:Ovis aries breed Texel chromosome 9, whole genome shotgun sequence.
UCCCUGGUGGUCCAGUGGCUAAGACUCUGCUCUCCCAACGCAAGGGGUCCAGUUCGAUACCUGGUCAGGGAA